rnacentral:rRNA from 1 species
AUCUUCCGCAAUGGGCGAAAGCCUGACGGAGCAACGCCGCGUGAGUGAUGAAGGGUUUCGGCUCGUAAAACUCUGUUAUUAGGGAAGAACAAAUGUGUUAGUAACUGUGUGCAUCUUGACGGUCCCUAAUCAGAAAGCCACGGCUAACUACGUGCCAGCAGCCGCGGUAAUACGUAGGUGGCAAGCGUUAUCCGGAAUUAUUGGGCGUAAAGCGCGCGUAGGCGGUUUCUUAAGUCUGAUGUGAAAGCCCACGGCUCACCCGUGGAGGGUCAUUGGAAACUGGGAAACUUGAGUGCAGAAGAGGAAAGUGGAAUUCCAUGUGUAGCGGUAAAAUGCGCAGAGAUAUGGAGAAACACCAGUGGCGAAGGCGACUUUCUGGUCUGUAACUGACGCUGAUGUGCGAAAGCGUGGGGAUCAAACA